rnacentral:rRNA from 1 species
UACUAGUGCAACUGCGAAUAGCUGUUUAAUACAGUCGUAAUUGUAUUGACUUAGUAUAAUGUUAAUAAUAGUUAUUUAUAGGAUAACUAAGGGAAAGUUUGGCUAAUACGUUUUAACAGUAUUAUAAUUCUUAAUACACAUAUAAUAAUAUUAUAAUAUGAUAAAUAUUAUAUAAAUAUUUUAAUACAUUUAUUUGUAUUAAUAUAUAGAGUUGACUUUAUAAUAUUUAUUUAUUAUAAAGCAUGUCAAACAAGCAUCUAUAGCAUCAAGUCACAAUGUUGGCAUGUGUAUUAUUGAACCUUCAAAGCAUUUACGCAUUCGGAGGAGUAGUUUCUGAUCCCGUCGAAGGUGCCUGAGAGACGGCACUUAGUUCUAAGGAACGCAGCACGCGCGUAAAUUGCCCAAUGACAAAACAUGUUAUAAUAAAAUAUAUAAUGUAUAUAUAUUGAAUACUCAAUAUUUAUAUUGAGGCAGUGACAAGCUGUAAAGAUUGAAUAUAUUAAUUAAGAUAACAUUUGGAAUUGUCGUUUUAUAAUAUUUUUUAAUAUUAUAUUACUUGAUAAUAUACCAAUGUUAUAAAAUAUUCAAUUUGAAUGCGGUGAAUGUAAUAAUUUCAAGUAACAUGUAUAAAAUAUUUAUAUUUUAUUAGUUAUCUGAAUUUUCAAGUGGAGGGCAAGUCUGGUGCCAGCAGCCGCGGUAAUACCAGCUCCACUAGCUUAUACAAUCAUUGUUGCGGUUAAGAGGCUCGUAGUUGGAUUGAAUAAAACAUAUAUACACAAUACUGUGAACAAACCAGAGUGUAUAAAACAUGUAAUAUAUUAUAUAUUUAGCAAUGAAUGUUUUAUCAUGGAAUAUUGCUAUAAUGAAUAUUAAUAUCGAUGGAGAUAGUUGGAGUUAAGAGUACUGAUAGGCGAGCGGUGAAAUGCAUUGACCCUAUUAAGACUAACAAAAGCGAAAGCACUUAACUAGAUUAUUCUCUUUGUAUUAUUUUACAAUGAAGAGCGAAGGUUGGGGGAACAAAGAGGAUCAGAUACCCUCGUAGUCCUAUUUUUACAUCAAACUAUGGGAUUUCAUUCACACUAAACACUAAACAUUAUAAUUAUAAUUAUGAUUGAGUAUAUGUCAAAAUAUUACUCUCAUAUUAAAUAAUUAUUAUAUAUAUGAUUAUAUGUACUUUGAGCUCAUAUAAUUAUAUAGGUGAGAUGUAAGCAUUAUAAAGUGAAUAAUAUACAAGUAAUAUUGUAUUAUUAUGAUCUUUAAAAUAAAAAAUGUAAUGUGAUGCACGUUUUAGGUACGAGCUUACUAUAGAAAUAUUUAAAAUAAUACCCUCCUGGGGUAGUAUGCACGCAAGUGUGAAACUUGAAGGAAUUGACGGAAGGGCACCACAAGAACGCGUGGAGCAUGUGGCUUAAUUUGACUCAACCCGGGAAAUCUUACCAGGUCCAGACAUAUUGAGGAUUGACAGGCGAUAGUAUAUAAUUCAUUUAUAUGCAUAAAAAUGAUAGUCCUUUCAUGAUUAUAUGAUAGGUGGUGCAUGGCCGUUCUUAGUUCGUGGAGUGAUUUGUCUGCUUAAUUGCGUUUCAGUAAAUAAAAUAUAUAAUAUAUUAUAAUAUUUAGUUCUGCCUUGAAUAUUAUUCAAGGAUUUAAAGUGAACAUAUUAUAUA